rnacentral:rRNA from 1 species
UGGCGGCUUGUUAACUACCUAGGGGAAUAUGUGCCUUAAUCCGAUAGUCCUCGACAUAUUUUACUGGGCCUUGAAAAAACAGUUGGUGUAUUGCCGUUGUCAGCUUGUUGUUGAGCAGAGAGAAACAGGCUUAAAGGAUUCGUCUGGGAGCAGAUGGAUUCCGUGAAUUCAGGUCGUAAUACUGCCUAUGGCUCUAGGGAGUGGGUGUUACAAUUUUUAAUUAAAAUACGGAUCUUUUUAUGAAAAAAAAGUGAAGGUGAACUUAGGAGUAAGGGAAGAUUAGCAUGCUCCCCUGAACGUGAAUCUAGCUUGUGUACAAACUGCCCGUCGCUCUCGGUAAGAGCUGAGAUAAGUCGUAACAAGGUAGGGGUACUGGAAGGUGCGCCCUGACAUGUGGGGUAGUGUAUAAGCACGCAGGUUUUUGGUUCCUGAAGAAAGAGGGUGUCUCUUUCCUGCAAAUUAGGCCGAAUUAGUAUAAAUAGUACGGGUGGCUUACACUCACUAAGAAACUUUUGGUUAUUCGGUUGUUGGUAAGAGUAUUAGUUUGGUCCGUUAGGUUUUACGUCGUAGUUCUUCUAAGGGUGGCCUAUCUUACCUUGUUUGAGCGGAAAGUUUUAGCUGCUAGACAAGUUCGGAAGGGUCCAGAGAUGGUUGGGUGGUUGGGACUUUUUCAACCGUUUGCUGAUGGGGUCAAGCUUUUUAGGAAGGAGUACUUCACUCCUAGAAGGUCUAAUUCCAUUCUUUUUUUUUUAGGUCCUUGUUUGAUGCUUUUUCAUGCAUUUUUUUUGUGGGGCUGCAGGCCAGGGGUUUGGGGGGGCGGUAUUUAUUUUUUUUGGGGCGGUCUUUAUGUUUUAAGGGUUUUAAGGGUUGGUGUGUACGGGGUAGUGCUCUGUGGGUGGGCUUCAAACUCUCGGUAUGCAAUGUUUGGUGCGGUUCGUGCCUUGGCGCAGGUUAUCUCGUAUGAAGUAAUACUUGUUUUUCUUUAUUUGGCUCCUUUUUUUGUUGCUGGGAGGUUGGAUUUAGAGAGUGUAAGUCUUUCUCAGGUGAGUGGGUGUAACGGGGGGGUGCUGUUUUUGGCCCUUCCUUGGUGGUGUUUCUGCAUUUUAGCGGAAAGAAAUCGUGCUCCUUUUGAUUUUGUUGAAGGGGAGUCAGAGCUUGUUUCAGGGUUUAAUGUUGAGUAUGGGAGGGGGGGGUUUGGAAUGAUCUUUAUUGCUGAGUACUCCAACAUUAUUUUUUUAAGAAGGCUUACUGGGGUUUUAUUUUUGGGGGGAGGUAAUUUCCUAGCUAGUGGCUAUUACGGAUUUUUGGUUAGGGGGU